UACAUGUGGGGCAAGCGUUGUUCGGAAUUACUGGGCAUAAAGCGUGCGCAGGCGGUUUGCUAAGACAGGUGUGAAAUCCCCCGGGCUUAACCUGGGAACUGCGCUUGUAACUGGCAAGCUAGAGUGUGGCAGAGGGGGGUGGAAGUUCCACGUGUAGGCAGUGAAAUGACGUAGAGAUGUGGAGGAACACCGAUGGCGAAGGCAGCCCCCUGGG
rnacentral:rRNA from 1 species